rnacentral:tRNA from 1 species
GGUCUUAUAGUCAAAAAAUGAUACCAAAUUGCAAAUUUGGUGGUGGGAUUCCUAAGGCUU